rnacentral:lncRNA from 1 species
GGGGACCCAGGUGGCCCUCCAGGCCCCAAAGGAGACAAGGUAAGCACAGACAAGAGUGGGGGCCCAUGUGGGAACCCCCUGCUUGGUGAAAGGAGAGAGGAAAAUGGGGCCGGGGUGGCCGGGGCAGCAGGAGGCAGGCAGCAGGCAGGUUGGGGAAGGGGCUGGGGGCUGGGCCCCUCAGUGGGCAGUGUCCCCUGCCAGUGCUUGCUGAUGUGAAGGCCUUGGCCUUGGUUCACAGGCCUAAGUCUGGUUAAUGACCACAGUGGUCCAACUGGAGGACCCAAGCUCAUGUGAGGGCCUUGUGCCUCAAGAGCAGAAGCCCUGGAAAUGUCUGUCUGCUGCGGUUCCUCUGGGCUCACCCAGGUCACCUCCCAACCUGCUGCCCUGGGGCAGGGACACACAGAGGCCUCGUGAUCCCCCUUCCUGUGCAAGCAGAAGGACUCGGGUUAGACACAGAGAAGGACAGGCAACAGGAAGGGAGUGUUUGUUGACAAAACUGACCAAGAGGAGACAAGAGAUUUGGCAAGAUUGUCCUGCCAUCCAGAGGGGACUGGAGGGUGACGGGGUGGAUGGGCUGAGGCCACAGCCAGCACCCUUCUCCUUAACCCUUCUUCUGACCGCAGGGCAGCUCCGGGGUGCCUGGAAAGGAAGGUCCUGGCGGGAAACCUGGCAAACCAGGGGUGCCCGGGCUGAAGGGAGAGAAGGGUGA